GAUUGAACGCUAGCGGCAGGCCUAACACAUAGCAAGUCGAGGGGCAGCACAAAGAUAGUUUACUAUUUUGGUAGGCGACCGGCGCACGGGUGAGUAACGCGUAUGCAACCUACCUUAUACAGGAGUAUAGCCCGAAGAAAUUCGGAUUAAUCCUCCAUAGUAUUUUCUAAUGGCAUCAUUUGGAAAAUUAAAGCUUCGGCGGUAUAAGAUGGGCAUGCGUCCUAUUAGCUAGAUGGUAAGGUAACGGCUUACCAUGGCAACGAUAGGUAGGGGGCCUGAGAGGGUGAUCCCCCACACUGGUACUGAGACACGGACCAGACUCCUACGGGAGGCAGCAGUGAGGAAUAUUGGGCAAUGGAGGCAACUCUGACCCAGCCAUGCCGCGUGCAGGAAGAAUGCCCUAUGGGUUGUAAACUGCUUUUAUUUAGGAAUAAACCUCUCUACGUGUAGAGAGCUGAAUGUACUAAACGAAUAAGCACCGGCUAACUCCGUG
rnacentral:rRNA from 1 species